UCCCGUCUGGCUCAGUUGGUAGAGCAUGGUGUUUGCAACGGCCAGGGUUGUGGGUUUGAUUCCCACGGGGGAC
rnacentral:tRNA from 1 species